rnacentral:lncRNA from 1 species
CUCUAAUAUAAUAGACAAUAGAUGUAUAAUAUAAAGUUGUACAAAUAACCUUGUUGUUCUUCAUCUUGAAGGUCAAUGGCAAUAAAAUACAGCCUUUGAUCCUGGUCCAGUUUCAGCUCUGCGUUGGCAUCGAAACAGUCAAUCCAAGUCUUAAAUUUUGUCUCUACGUCUUUGACAUUUUUUUUUAAAGCAUUAUAGUAUCUUCCCACUUAAUAUGGCUACUUUUUCC